CUCGGCGGGCGGCCCCUCCCUGGGGCCGCUGCCUCCCUCGGGGGGUGCCCGCCGGCGUACCAAAACUCUUUUGUAUUUUAGUGGCCUCUCUGAGAAAACAAGCAAAUAAGUUAAAACUUUCAACAACGGAUCUCUUGGUUCUGGCAUCGAUGAAGAACGCAGCGAAAUGCGAUAAGUAAUGUGAAUUGCAGAAUUCAGUGAAUCAUCGAAUCUUUGAACGCACAUUGCGCCCGCCAGUACUCUGGCGGGCAUGCCUGUUCGAGCGUCAUUUCAACCCUCAAGCCCUGCUUGGUGUUGGGGUCCUACGGCUGCCGUAGGCCCUGAAAGCUAGUGGCGGGCUCGCUAUAACUCCGAGCGUAGUAGUAAAAUAUCUCGCUAGGGAGGUGUCGCGGGUUCCGGCCGUGAAAGCCCCGGCGAGUGAAGCGGCAACAGCUCAAAUUUGAAAUCUGGCUUCGGCCCGAGUUGUAAUUUGUAGAGGAUGCUUUUGGUGAGGUGCCUUCUGAGUUCCCUGGAACGGGACGCCAGAGAGGGUGAGAGCCCCGUAUAGUUGGACACCGAGCCUCUGUAAAGCUCCUUCGACGAGUCGAGUAGUUUGGGAAUGCUGCUCAAAAUGGGAGGUAUAUCUCUUCUAAAGCUAAAUACUGGCCAGAGACCGAUAGCGCACAAGUAGAGUGAUCGAAAGAUGAAAAGCACUUUGAAAAGAGGGUUAAAUAGUACGUGAAAUUGUUGAAAGGGAAGCGCUUGUGACCAGACUUGUGCCCGGCUGAUCAUCCAGUGUUCUCACUGGUGCACUCUGCCGGGCUCAGGCCAGCGUCGGUUCUCGCAGGGGGACAAAAGCUUCGGGAACGUAGCUCCUCCGGGAGUGUUAUAGCCCGUUGCUCAAUACCCCUGCGGGGACCGAGGUUCGCGCUCUGCAAGGACGCUGGCAUAAUGGUCAUCAGCGGCCCGUCUUGAAACACGGACCAAGGAGUCGAGGUUUUGCGCGAGUGUUUGGGUGUAAAACCCGCACGCGUAAUGAAAGUGAACGUAGGUGAGAGCUUCGGCGCAUCAUCGACCGAUCCUGAUGUAUUCGGAUGGAUUUGAGUAAGAGCGUA
rnacentral:sRNA from 1 species